rnacentral:sRNA from 1 species
AGUUUAUCUUUUGACUUUGUUGAUGCUGCUUUUUGCCACCUAGUAUUUUUAUAUUUGCUCAAUCGGAGCUCCCUGGGUCCUCAGCAGUGAGGCUGGCCUCCCUGCGUGACCUGCCCGCCCAGCUCCUGGAGCUGUACCAGCAGGGCUUCUCGCUGGCGGCCCUGCACCCCUUCGUGCAGCCCACCCAUGAGCGGGAGAAGACGCCCCUGGAGCACAUCUUUAGAGCCAUCCUGAUCAAGAAAACCGACACAUCUCAGAAAACUGAUCUUCACAAUGAAGGCUACAUCUUGGAAUUAGAUUGCUGUUCCUCCUUAGACCAUCUGACAGACCAGAAACUCAUCCCAGAGUUCAUUAAGAAGAUCCAGGAGGCUGCAAGCCAGGGCCUGAAAUUCGUUGGUGUUAUACCUCAGUACCAUUCCUCUGUGAACUCGGCAGGCAGCAGUGCUCCAGUGUCUACUGCCAAUAGCACCGAGGAUACCAGAGAUGCAAAAAACGCACGUGGGGAUCACGCGUCACUGGAGAAUGAGAAACCGGGUGGGAGA